UCAAACUUGGUCAUUUAGAGGAAGUAAAAGUCGUAACAAGGUCUCCGUUGGUGAACCAGCGGAGGGAUCAUUACCGAGUUUUCUGACUCCCAAACCCACUGUGAACCUUACUAUUUGUUGCUUCGGCGGUACCGCCCCGGCGCCUUCGGGCCCGGACCACGGCGCCCGCCGGAGGCCCGCAAACUCUCUUUGAAUACCGCGCCGCGGUUUUGAAUCUUCUGAGUUGUAUGUUAUAAAACGCAUCAAAACUUUCAACAACGGAUCUCUUGGUUCUGGCAUCGAUGAAGAACGCAGC
rnacentral:misc_RNA from 1 species